AGUUUUCCGAGGAUGUUUGUAUGGCUCUUCUAGUGCAAUAUCUUCAAUUCUUUUUUCCUGAUACUUCUCCAGAUCUUGAACGAGCUAACAACCAAACAACCGCGGUAUUGUGUACAACCGAACUUCGAGACGCCUUUUUAUUUGCUGUUGUUGAGUACUUUUUAGCCCGCCAAAAACUACAAUCGUUGCCACCAACUCCAGUCGGACAACUUUUUGCUUUAAUUCUAAUUACUCGCAAGUUAAAUAAUUAUUUUAAAAAUCGGCUGAAUGAAAGGGGAAAACUUGGGGAGCUCAAUAAUAUUUCUCAGGAAGAAAUACAAAAUUUAGUGUACAA